UUUUACUUUAAGAGUUCCUCUCCUAGUGUGCAACUCUCUUCAGUUAACCCCCAAGUGAAGGAAGCCAUAUAACCACACCAUAUGUACAGCAGUGCUCAGGAGCCUGAUGGUCCAGGGUAGUAAAGGAGAAGGAUGAUCUAACCCACCUGCUGAUUCACUAACACCUGCAGAAGAAGAGAAGCAUCCAGUGGGAGGAACCACAUGCCCAGAAUUGCUAGGUGUGAGCAGCUGUAAGGGUCUUCCUACCUUGAUGAGGCUGGCCUAGAAUUUGGAAUCCUCCUGCCUCAGCCUGUGGAGUUGCUGGGAUUACUGAUGUGCAGUACUGUGCCCAACUUUUCAGGUUUAUUUUAAAAGUAUUUGAAGUUCCUACAACAUGGCAGACAUUGACAACAAAGAACAGUCUGAACUUGAUCAAGAUUUGGAUGAUGUUGAAGAAGUAGAAGAAGAAGAAACUGGUGAAGAAACAAAAAUCAAAGCGCGUCAGCUGACUGUUCAGAUGAUGCAAAAUCCUCAGAUUCUUGCAGCUCUUCAAGAAAGACUUGAUGGUCUGGUAGAAACACCAACAGGAUACAUUGAAAGCUUGCCUAGGGUAGUUAAAAGACGAGUGAAUGCUCUCAAAAACCUUCAAGUUAAAUGUGCACAGAUAGAAGCCAAAUUCUAUGAGGAAGUUCAUGAUCUUGAAAGGAAGUAUGCUGUUCUCUAUCAGCCUCUAUUUGAUAAGCGAUUUGAGAUCAUUAAUGCAAUUUAUGAACCUACAGAAGAAGAAUGUGAAUGGAAACCAGAUGAAGAAGAGGAAAUUUCGGAGGAGCUGAAAGAAAAGGCCAAGAUAGAAGAUGAGAAAAAAGAUGAAGAAAAAGAAGACCCUAAAGGAAUUCCUGAAUUUUGGUUGACUGUUUUUAAGAAUGUUGACUUGCUCAGUGACAUGGUUCAGGAACAUGACGAACCUAUUCUGAAGCACUUGAAAGAUAUUAAAGUGAAGUUCUCAGAUGCUGGCCAGCCUAUGAGUUUUAUCUUAGAAUUUCACUUUGAACCCAAUGAAUAUUUCACAAAUGAAGUGUUGACAAAGACAUACAGGAUGAGGUCAGAACCAGACGAUUCUGAUCCCUUUUCUUUUGAUGGACCCGAAAUUAUGGGUUGUACAGGGUGCCAGAUAGAUUGGAAAAAAGGAAAGAAUGUCACUUUGAAAACUAUUAAGAAGAAGCAGAAACACAAGGGACGAGGGACAGUUCGUACCGUGACUAAAACAGUUUCCAAUGAUUCUUUCUUUAAUUUUUUUGCCCCUCCUGAAGUUCCUGACAGUGGAGAUCUGGAUGAUGAUGCUGAAGCUAUUCUUGCUGCAGACUUUGAAAUUGGUCACUUUUUACGUGAGCGUAUAAUCCCGAGAUCAGUGUUAUACUUCACUGGAGAAGCUAUUGAAGAUGAUGAUGAUGAUUAUGAUGAAGAAGGUGAAGAAGCGGAUGAGGGUUAUCAGCUCUUUGAAGAAGUCAAAAGCUGCAGUAAACUUUUUCAACGUUGGCUGCAGUAAAUCUUUUCAAUAAAAGCUGUCUGGAUGUCUCAAGUUGUGUUGGGAAAUUUUUCAUAAUAGAAGCUUUCAGAUUAAAUUGCAUUAUCACCAAACUCUGUAAUCAUGAAAAAUCUGUUGACCCAUAGAGUAACUUGUAUUAAAUUUUGUACUAAAUUUUCCCUACAUUAUGAGCCAAUUUUUCCUAUUAUAUACCUACUUCAUGGAUGCAUUUUGAACUUUAAUAUAGGAAGGGGAAGAAGAAGGAGAUGAGGAAAAUGAUCCAGACUAUGACUCGAAGAAGGAUCAAAACCCAGCAGAGUGCAAGCAACAGUGAAGCAGGAUGUAUGUGGCCUUGAGGAUAACCUGCACUGUAAUAGCCUAUACACAACUAUUAUUUACUUACAGCCUUAUGUUUUUGUAUUUUCUUGGUAGACUCAAUAAUUUUUUUUUUAAAGGAAAGGAAUUGAUAUUUUAAAGACAAAUUUGUUCUACCUAGCAUUUUAACUAUAGCUUUUCUGUCGUAUCUGUUGAAUGCACAAAUUCUCACGCAUGUUCAUUCAUUGCUGCAGUUUGGUUCUUCUGGAAUAUUUGUAUCAUGUAGCUAUUGGAGUACAACUAUAAAAAUUAACAACUGUUAAAUUAAGCUAAAUGUUUUUUGUUUGCUAAUUUUUUUUCCUGAAGAACCAAAGUAGUUUUCAGCUGGUAGUAAGAGUGACUUUAAGUCUGCUUGCAAAGUUGUGCUUUUCAUUUAUUUGUUACAGAAAUGUAGUGAAUUUUUACUAAUACAACUCAUUUGAGAGAAGAAAAAAACCCAUAACAAACAUGGUUAAGAAUUUCCAGUAAGACCAAACUCGAUAACUGUUAGGAUUAUUAAUGAAGUGUAGUUAAUUUUAAGGAAACCUAACUCAUAAUUUGGUUAUUGGUUAUUACAGGGAGGUGAAUAAAAUAAUUUUCAGAAGGUUAUUAACCUGAUAAAGUGUACUUGUAAUUUUAACUUCCAUUAACUAAGCAUCUUUUCUUUGUGGUAGGAUCUACCUUCUGCUUUCCUGGAAAGGAUGAAUUUACAUCAUUUGACGAGCCUAUUUCAAGUUUUUGUUGUUUGUUUGCUUGUUUUUGUUUUUGCAGCCUAAAAUAAAAAUGUCAAAUAUAA